rnacentral:lncRNA from 1 species
UUCAUCAGUGAUUGUAAAGGACACCGUCUCUUACUGUAUAGCAAAAAAUGGCAGGGCCUCAGUGCUGCGAGAAUCCACCAGCUUUGAGCUCAAGCAGUGGACAUGGAUCUAUUUUGGAACUUGGAGGACUCAAAACCUACGUCUCUGGUUCUUCCAAUUCCAAACACGCCAUUCUUCUCAUCUCCGACGUUUAUGGUACUAACCCUUUUAACCCUUUUGUCUUUUAUGAAUUUGGGCAUCUGGGUUCUGCUCAAUUUGCACUUUAUUUCUCUUUCUUGCCCUUUUUUUUAUCAGAAAAAUUGAGGAAUCUGUUGAUCAAUUUGGUACAAUGGAGGACAUAUUUUUGAAAAAUAUUUGGUUGGGUUGUGGAGAAAACUAAUCGGGUAGUGCUUUGUGAGUGUUAAAGGUUGAUAAUAAUGUGUAAAUGUUCAAUGGAAUAGUGAUAUACUAUCGUUUUGUAGAAAGAUGAUUAUUUGUGCCGUAGUUACGCCUUUGCUUCUUAUCGUAUCUUACUUAGUAAAGUAACCUUUGGUGUUAGGCGCUCGCCUUUGUUCAAAAGUGAAUAAGUCAUUUUCCAGUUUGAUGGAAAGUGUUUUUUUUUUUUUUUUGCAAAUAUGUUCCGGCAAUAUAGGGGUAAGGUUUAUCGGUAACAAAAUCUCUAUCUCCCAAGCUAGGGGUAAGGUCUGCUAUAUACUACACUCCUAGACCUUGCUUGUGGGAUUACAAUGAGUAUGUUGUUGUUGUUUUAAUCAAACACCAUAAAAUAACUUAUUUUUGAAAAACAUUGCUGUAGUUUGGUUUGAGAAUCUCAAAGUUGAAGAAAAUUGUAGAGUACAACAAAUACCUGUUUUGGAUUAGCAAGGACAAAUAGAUGUAUAUGGGAGAAGGAAAAGAACUCAGCACUUCCUUUUCAAAACUACUUCUUGUGUCCCAUUAUUUGUGUCAUUUGCUAUUUUGGUAGUUAAGCGGAUUUUUCUAUAACUACAAAUGUUUCAAUUCUAAAUGUUAUGAACUAGUGUAUUCUCUGUGUAGUAUCUAAACAUGUAAAUUUCAUUUCAAAUGUUGGAUUUUAGACUGAAAAUUAGAUGUUUUGACCCUUGGUAAUG